rnacentral:rRNA from 1 species
GAGCACGUAGGUGGGUUUGUAAGUCAGAUGUGAAAGCCUUCUGUUCAACGGAAGAAUUGCAUCUGAAACUACAAACCUUGAGUGUAGGAGGGGAGAAUGGAACUUCUGGUGGAGCGGUGAAAUGCGUAGAUAUCAGAAGGAACGCCGGCGGCGAAAGCGAUUCUCUGGCCUAUUACUGACACUCAGUGUGCGAAAGCUAGGGGAGCAAACGGGAUUAGAUACCCCGGUAGUCCUAGCCGUAAACGAUGGGCACUAAGUAGAGGGAAUUACCGAUGUUCUCUCUGCCGUAGCUAACGCAUUAAGUGCCCCGCCUGGGGAGUACGGCCGCAAGGCUAAAACUCAAAAGAAUUGACGGGGGCUCGCACAAGCGGUGGAGCAUGUGGCUUAAUUCGAUGCAACGCGAAAAACCUUACCGGGGCUUGACAUGGUAGAAGUAGGAACCCGAAAGGGUAACGAACGGUAUCCAGUCCGUAGCUAUCACAGGUGUUGCAUGGCUGUCGUCAGCUCGUGUCGUGAGACGUUGGGUUAAGUCCCCUAACGAGCGAAACCCUUGUUUUUAGUUACCAGCGGGUUGUGCCGGGUACUCUAGAAAGACUGCCGUCGUCAAGACGGAGGAAGGUGGGGAUGACGUCAAGUCAUCAUGGCCCUUAUGCCCCGGGCUGCACACGUGCUACAAUGGUCGGUACAAACGGAAGCGAAGCCGAGAGGUGAAGCGAAUCC